UCGCUUGCACUGGGGCGUGUGGCGCUCUCCUGGGUCUUUACUGUGUGUUCUCACAUGAGAUCUCUCAUUAAAUGUGUCUGUGCUUAGAGUCUCCCAGGUCCUGGACCCCCUUAAAGAGCUUCUCCCACCUCCCUCUGCGCAUUGAAAGAGCGCUCCACCAAGACAGGAGCUAUUAUGGGUGUUUAUUGGCUUGGCAGAUGUUUUUAUUUGCAGUGCUCAGCAGACAGUUUGAUUACAUUUCUGGAAGAUGUUAAAAGGUUGCAGUGUUUGGGACAGGGCAGUCCAAGUGCACGGUCUGUACAGAAGAUCUCCUGCCCUGGAGGGCAGGCUUUUAAGGGUUUAAAAGCUGUAGUGCUACUUUGAUAUAGCUCUUUGCGCUUGGCCAGCAGUCCCAGUGCAAGUCGGUGGCUUGAAGCUACCAGUAGAGACUAGUAUUUAAUCAGGCCCUGGAGAGCCAGGUUCAGGCUGCAUGCUCACAUGCUAAUGGGCAGGUAAUUAGCACUACAGUGACAUGAGUUUAAGCGGACUCCCCUGGAGGCCCCUGUGGCCCCCGUUAUCACCGUACAGCACCCGCCACUGCAUCACUGCACUGCACCUUUCUCUGCCCCCUGUCUGCCCCCUGCCCCGUUUUACUGUCAAGCACUACUGUGGACAGAUGGGACUUUCAAAACCUUUUCUUGUGUGACAUUUGUGAUAUUAAAUGUGGUGUGAGAAAAUGAUUUCACAUUGGUUAAACACUUGAAGUAAAUGCUAUUGAAAUAUGACAUUGUCUCAGAACUACCGCUCCAGACAUGCAAAUUUAGUUUAGAAUUGGUGCCAAAUCAUGCUUUGUGCUAGGGAUGUUAGCAAUUAAUCGAUGAUCAAUUAUUCUUCAUUACGCAUUCACGUCGAUCAAGCUUAAUGAGUAAAAAGAUUAAUUGUAUUUUGUAUAUUUCUUUCAGAGAGAAACAUUAUGAUUUAAAUAGUCCUCCAGAUAGAGCUGUAUAGUUCAACCUCCUUAGCUAGGCUUGGACAUGUACAUCCGGGUACUGGCGCAGAUACUGUUGGUAAGGUGUCAAGCUCAUGGGCGGAGUCAGCAAGGGAGAAAACAGUCUAUCACUGUUCUGCGUAGGGACCUGUAGAUCAAGCUAGCCAUCAUUGCUAUUUUAUUGUAAUGUCAGCAAAUUACAUUGAAUCGUUGUUUCCUAAAGAUCAGCGAAGGUAUUUUGGCUAAAUGAACCAAAUCGGACUCGGGUAGGCUACAGUCCGUAUGCGGCUUCAGAGUGGACAAAUGAUCCAAAUCAGUAGCUUGUGGUUACUUAUGAUUCCCUGACAUCUUCAUCUAUCUUUAUGAUUUCCCCAGUAAGGAACCACGUUAACUACAAUAUGGUCCAUGAGCAUGAAAAGUAAACUGCCUUGUUGACCAUAAUCGAAUGCUUUCACUUUGAACAUUUGAUUGCAGAAGCAAUGUUAACUAUCAUUUUGUGGGCUAGCUGUUGCUAGCCAUGGUUUUUUUGCCAAAAAAUCUAAGUGCAAAUCCAGGUUUUUAAAUCGGUUUGCUAUGCAGUAGGCAACACAGUAGUUUGUUUUUGCUAUUUUGAGAACUGCAAUGUUUUAAUAUAUAUUACUAGGAUUUUGUCCUAAUUUAAGACUUAAUUUACUGACCGCUUCAUUGAUUUCCUGGAAACUGCAAAACCCCCCCCUUUGGGAGUUGAAUCUAUUUCAAGUGCUCAAAUGUGACCCCUGUGCCCCACUUGCCUUGCCUGUGCCCUGUUGCUGAGUUGCAAUAGUGACCAAAGGACAACAUGUCUUCCACUUAUUACACAUGAUGAUGGUGUACUUGGGGUACACCUGUACUGUUUUAACAGACAAUUUUAAGUGUAGCAGGCAGUAGGAAGAGACGCUAAAUUCUCUGAGCUGAGGUGUUUACGUUGCCUUUUUGUCUAAAUUUAAGAGCCAUCUAAACAUACUGUUCUGUGUUUUCACGUUGUGUUCAGUAUUUUGAUCUUAUUCAUUCUGAAUGCGAGUGAAAAGAAGCUCGUUCACAAAGCCUGGGGUCAGGAAAAGUAUUGCCUCUUGCGUCACUCGCAUUUUUAUUGGUGAGCUGUUUAACCGCAGUUCAUGGAAUUUAGGCCUGCGUUAAUGACUAUCGAUUAUUUGUUAACAUUAAGAUUAAUUGAUCAAAUGAAUUAUUGUGAAUUUGCUUCCCUACUUUGUGCGCUUAGAAGAUGCUCUUAAAAAUUCCAUUUCUGAAUUCUAUUUUUUAAAAAGUUACAAUAAAAUGUAUUUGAUAAAAUGUGGCAUUGUAAAAACAGUCAGCCUCGAUAGCCUGCAGACGUGAACAUAGGUCUCAGAGUGCAGAUAAGAUGAUGGGUUGCCAUGGUUUUUAUGUUCAUUGUGGUUUCUUAGAGCAGAGUUGGGCAGAGGUGUCUCUUGAAUAUCAGCUUCUCGGCAGCAGUCUAGCUGCAGGUCUUGUUCAGUUGUGUUCCUCUCUUCAGCCGGCAGUGAGCCUGCGCAGAGUGUGCCUGGCUUUGUGCUGGUGUGCACAGUGCGUUUAUGCUAACCAAGAGCCCGGUGGGGGGCCACUGCCUGCUGAACUGGGGCAAUGCGUAAAAGAGCUAACUAACUGCAAAACUAAUGCACACAGGCCCCUUCAGUCAAACAGGAAACACCUUGAAAAAAUAAUCUCAUUUCCUCCCCGUGUUCCUUUAUGCCUGGCAGUGCGAGGUGGCAGCUCUGCUGCACAAAGAGUACCAACUAGUGUAUAUGUUCAGUUUGUGUUCGGUGUGUCCUGGGUCGUAAAUCUAGCUGCUGGUGACGCUAUUGAAGUCAGGGAGUCUGUAAACAACCAGACAGUCCAUACAGACGGUUUUCCUGUUUUCCUGUAAAGCGUCUUUGUGCCCUGUGUCUCUGUAAAAGGCGCUAUACAAACUCAGUUUAAAUGAACCAAGAAAGUGCUCUGUGGUUGCCAUGUGAGUUGGAAAAAUUGCAGUCUGGAGCAAUUUCCUCUGAUUCUGUGUGUGGAAUAUUGGUCCGCAAACAGCCCGUCUCUCUUGUGACACACCUCUUACUGCCCAUCUAUCACCAUUAGGUGUUUGUUACUGAGCGUGAAGAUGGCAUUUGGCCAGACUUGUUUGUGGUCCUUGGAUUGUGCAGAGUAGUGGGGAAAGCGUGGAUGUGUGGUUAUGCUCUCGCUGCACAGACUGUGCUGUGCGGGUUCAGGGAAGGGCACCGGGCCACUGUCCUCCGCUCUGGCAUCAUAGGAUGCUUAUUAUUAGGCCCUGUCAGGUUGACAUGUAGAGGGUAUGAUUUGUAUGUGAGAAUGUCCCUUCCUAUCUUAGUGGCCACAGAUAUCUCCAUGCUGAAGCUCUGCAGAGUGGAACCUGUUCACUAAUGCUCGACUGGCAGGUGUUUGAGGGGGCAGGGCUGAAAGGGGAUAGUUGUCAUCUCAGCCUGUUCUUCUACCUGUUGUGUGUGUGUGUGUGUGUGUGUGUGUGGCCUGCCAGCUCUGGGAAAACUUGGAAAACAUCACGUCAAUCAGUCCCACUCUUUUUUUCGGUUGAAUUCGAUUAAUUUUCAUUCCAGUAAUUCCACUUUCAUUCCCCCCCUUUUUUCCAUAUUUUAAAAUUAAAAGUGAACAAAAUGACAAGGAAGAUGUUUGUGCCAUACAUGCAGUCUCAGUUGCAGUGCUGAAAGUGUUUCUUGGAGGGAGAGGCCUGUCUGAAGAGGUUGUGGCGUGUGCAGGGUGAGGGCGGGGAGGGUCAGAGGAGGGCGCAGGCCAGUCCAAUCACAUGUACCCUGUGUCACGGUGCCCUGGCGAGAGAGAGGCUGCCAGAGCAGUCUGAACUCUCUCCCUCUCUCUGUCUCUCUCUUCCUGUCUUUCUUUUCCCCUCUGUCUCUUCUCCCCCUUCUCUUUGUCUGUGUCUACGUCUCUUUCACACAACAGAGGACAGGCCGUGUUCGAAGGUUUUGUAAGCUUCCUGCUUCAACAAAAGCAGCUUGCCCUCAGGAGGGGGAUUAGGCCCCCGAGGCGCUGAAACCUGACACCCUGUUGAAGCGGACUGAAGGUGCCCAUGGAGCAGGAACCCCUCUGCAGCAAGGGGGUGUCAUGCCACCCAUCUCCCAAGGUGGGGUCUGAGGUUGCAGUGGAGUGGAUUUCUGCAGUGCGUGUUUGGGGAGGGGGUGACCAUGAGGAAGACCUCCCUCUCCCCCCUCCCCCUUCUGUAGCAUGGCUUUGGAGUGCGGUGGGGUGUGGUGGUGAUUGCAGUUUGAAGUGUGAUGGCUUGAAGGGAGGAGGGACAUCAAAGGGUGUGAGCCCCCCCUUCCUGUGGAUUGUGCACGUGUGCUGUGACAUUCACUGGAGUUUUGUGCUGGUUUCUUGCUUGACAGUGAAAAGGGGGGUAUGAGGGUUUUCCUGUCAGUUAAGUUUUAGUCUCUGCUCAUGUCACUCUGUCUAUUAUAAUACAAGGCAACCCACUGGUAAGAAUAGUAUCAGUCCAAGAUGGAUUUUGGAUGAGCAGUAGUCUACAUAUUAUAAGUAGCAUGCAUUCAAAUGAAUGGAAGAAGCAAAAUUGUGUGAACACCAAAUACAGCAAUUCUAAAUACAGCAAGUCGUAUACAGUGGAAAAAAAUCUUACUCAUUUCAGUUUCUUGGAAAUGAGAAUUUCUUGCAGGCAAAUGGUGAUGUGCUGAAGUUUAACUUAAGUAUGUUUGCUGAAAGCUGCAACGACAAAAAAUAUAGGCCUAGUCAUUUGGCAGAUGCUUUCUAUGAAAGCAGCUUACCAAAUGUGUGCAUUUAAUGUCGUAAACAAAUGCCACCUGACCUGAAGAGAGAGGCAAAGUUGCAGUCAAAUCAGUGCCGUCAUCAAGGUGUAGGCUUCAAGUCUUAAGUCUGUUCUGUGCGGAAUUAACUAAUUUCAGCCAUAAUUGUUUUUAAAGGUGAGAACCAAGGGCUGCUGGGUGGCUCAUCCAGUGAAGUCACUGUUGUUGUUUCAGGAUGGGCCCCAUAGUCUCCUGUGGCCAACUGUGGCCAGCAGCACCACAGGCAACAUAAUUGGGUUAGUGAGGGUUCAGAUGGCUGGCAUCCUCAUUGCUCUCUUGCGACCCCUGCUGGUCGAUCAAGCACCUAUGAUCUGCUUGCUUAAGCUGCACAUGAAGUGUCUUCCUCUGAGCCAUGUCUGUGCAAGCCUUGCUUGUGGGCUGCAGUGUGAAAAGAAGCAUCUGGCGACAUCAUGUGCUUUGGAGGAGAGUGCAUGUUUGUCUACACUCUCGCAUCGGCUGCAGAGAUUGCAGUAUGAGCUUGGCUUUGUACAAUUGGGCAUUCCACACUGGGAAGAAAAUUGGGGGGGGGGG